rnacentral:lncRNA from 1 species
CUACUUGAUUGCUUCAUGCUGAUUUUUGGGUAUGUCUGAAAGUCAGCAUGACCAGGGCAAAAAGGGCAACUUUCCCUGCAACGAAAGCUAAGAAUUUAUUAUAAAUUAUUUUCAUUUAUUAGGAAACAAGAAGUAAUAUUUUCUAUAAAGAUAAAAUGAGAAAGCUGCCAAGAUUUUUAACUAUCCCUUCUCCAGAUCAGAAUACUCAUCAGCUCAAAAACCAAGAGGAAAUCUUGAGGAUCCUUAACUAUGCCUUGGACACAUCCUGGAGAUCCAUGUCAUGGCUCCAACCCUUAGCAGCUGUUUGAUUCCACGAGCCUGUUUUCCUGUCGGGAAGGGGCAUCUGAAGGCAGGGCUCCUGUCCUGGGACGGACGCAUCAUCGUUUCCAGCUCUGUCCCAGGUGAAGUGUGAACCGCUGCUCAAGGGGCCUCGUUACGUCACCUCACCCUGGGAUUGGCAGUGACUGGUUCAGGGAGGGCCGGG